rnacentral:misc_RNA from 1 species
GAUGAAGAACGUAGCGAAAUGCGAUAAGUAAUGUGAAUUGCAGAAUUCCGUGAAUCAUCGAAUUUUUGAACGCACAUUGCGCCCCCUGGUAUUCCGGGGGGCAUGCCUGUCCGAGCGUCAUUACAACCCUCAAGCUCAGCUUGGUAUUGGGCCCCGCCGACCCGGCGGGCCCUAAAGUCAGUGGCGGUGCCGUCCGGCUCCGAGCGUAGUAAUUCUUCUCGCUCUGGAGGUCCGGUCGUGUGCUCGCCAGCAACCCCCAAUUUUUUUCAGGUUGACCUCGGAUCAGGUAGGGAUACCCGCUGAACUUAAGCAUAUCAAUAAGCGGAGGA